rnacentral:rRNA from 1 species
UGUUCGACCUGUAAAUAAUUACAUGAUUUGAGUUCAGACCGGUGCAAGCCAGGUCGGUUUCAAUCUUCUUAUAUUAUUAAAUAGUACGAAAGGACCAAUAAUAAUAAUUAUAUUAUUAUAAUGGCAGACAAUGCNUUAGAAUUAGAAUCUAAUUAUUUCAAUAUAUCUACAUUUAUAUUCAUAUUUAAUUUUUUAAUU